rnacentral:rRNA from 1 species
AGAGUUUGAUCCUGGCUCAGAGCGAACGCUGGCGGCAGGCUUAACACAUGCAAGUCGAGCGGGCGUAGCAAUACGUCAGCGGCAGACGGGUGAGUAACGCGUGGGAACGUACCUUUUGGUUCGGAACAACACAGGGAAACUUGUGCUAAUACCGGAUAAGCCCUUACGGGGAAAGAUUUAUCGCCGAAAGAUCGGCCCGCGUCUGAUUAGCUAGUUGGUGAGGUAACGGCUCACCAAGGCGACGAUCAGUAGCUGGUCUGAGAGGAUGAUCAGCCACAUUGGGACUGAGACACGGCCUAAACUCCUACGGGAGGCAGCAGUGGGGAAUAUUGGACAAUGGGCGCAAGCCUGAUCCAGCCAUGCCGCGUGAGUGAUGAAGGCCCUAGGGUUGUAAAGCUCUUUUGUGCGGGAAGAUAAUGACGGUACCGCAAGAAUAAGCCCCGGCUAACUUCGUGCCAGCAGCCGCGGUAAUACGAAGGGGGCUAGCGUUGCUCGGAAUCACUGGGCGUAAAGGGUGCGUAGGCGGGUCUUUAAGUCAGGGGUGAAAUCCUGGAGCUCAACUCCAGAACUGCCUUUGAUACUGAGGAUCUUGAGUUCGGGAGAGGUGAGUGGAACUGCGAGUGUAGAGGUGAAAUUCGUAGAUAUUCGCAAGAACACCAGUGGCGAAGGCGGCUCACUGGCCCGAUACUGACGCUGAGGCACGAAAGCGUGGGGAGCAAACAGGAUUAGAUACCCUAGUAGUCC